UAAAAAAAAAAAAAAAAAAACUAAGAAAACUAUGUUCCAAUCAACUACCUACGUAUUGCCGAUGGUACACUGGUUAAAUAUCUUUAACUUAAAAAUAAAAUAUACUUUUGUGAAACUUCUUUAUGGUGUAAAACAUGAUCCAUAAAAAAAAACAUUUUAAAUAAAUAAAAAAUUUACUUAUCAAUAAACCAAAGCUGACCAUGUAAUGGAUAAAAUACAACAUGCAAUAAUGUGACAUAUGUAUAUAUAGAAGAAUACAAAGAUAUGACAAUAACAAUAGGGGGAAAAAAAGACUUGUAUAUGUAAAAUAAAUUAAGGCUUCUCCCUCAGAUCAGACUUAGGGAGUGUAUUGUUUUUUCACCAUGCUGUACACACACUACACUUUAAUGCUGUUCAUUCAAGUCUAAUAAAAGCCCUUCCAGCUUCUAUUAAUGACAGCAGUAAAGAAUAGGGCUCUUUGAAGCAAUAGCCUAACAAACAGCUUCUAAAAAUAGCAUUUUCUAGCAGAGAUAAAAUAAUAUGUAAGAAAUUUUCAGAAAACAUUGAAAGAAAAAAAAAGACACUGGGAAAAAAAAUGUAAAAAGUUCAAACAAAACGAACAACAUAAAAAAAGUUUGUCUGAUCACAAUAUCAUGUGAGUUGGACUGGGUCAAAACUGUGACCUGCCUUUUAAAGCUAUUCCAAUCAUCAUGAGUUGUGGACCUCCAAUGGAACUUGUAAAGGCUUAAAAAAAAUUUGAGCUCCUGAGAACAUCAAUCUUUACUUAUCAAUUGAUGCUUAUGCCUAUUAAUGAAUAAAUAUUGUGUGAUGUUUAUAAAAAGAGAUGACUAUGAUGUCUAUAACAAGUGGCACCACCGAAUGACUAGCUAGACUUGUUUCUUUACUACCAUCUUCCCUUUUUUUUUUCUGUAAUUCAAAUUUAUCCCAGCAAGCCAAGGAUCAAUUUGGUUCAAAUUUUUUUCCCUAGCCCAUUGUCACUGCAUACGCCUAAUAGCUUUUAGGAGCCAGGAACAGAUCUGGAGCGUCAAUCAUUCUUAAAUAGUCUACACAAGUGUGUACUGUUGUAUUACGACUAAACCAGGUUUUGGAAGAGAAACAAACCUAGCAUGCUAGGAGGGUCACACCACAUCAUUCUUAAAUAGUCUACACAAGUGUGUACUGUUGUAUUACGACUAAACCAGGUUUUGGAAGAGAAACAAACCUAGCAUGCUAGGAGGGUCACACCAC